UGAAGUCUCCAGGCCCCAGAGGGCCGGGGUUGCGGGACUGGGCCAUGCCGCCCUGGGCGGCCCAGAGAUGGGAGCAGCAAGAGGCUCCUCCUCUUUCCUCCCCGACGCUGGGGCAGUGGCGACGACUUGGUCCUCUUCUCCCAGGAGCCUCCUGGCAGGGCUGGGCCUGGACCUCUAGUCAGGUCCGGAGAGUCCGGUAACGCGAAGACUUGGGGCUGGGAGGCUGGACUUCGGGGGAGGGAGUCUUCCCCUAUUUUUCAGGGAUCCUCAAAUGCAGUGUUCUCCUGCCUUCAUUGGACAUUGCUCAGAGCUGUUCUCUCUGGUUCCUAUACCUGAGGGUCACCCUCCACCCACCCCCACCCCCAUCCAGCGGUGAUCUUGCAACCUCGACAGCCUUGCUGGGUGGGAGUGGAGUGUUAGUUAUACCGCGGGCCGUCAUUUUAUACUUGGGAGAAAGAGGCCCAGAGAGAGAAAGUGACUGGUUACAUCCCAGCCUCCAGCUCCCCUCCUACCCUCCACCCUUUCCGUCUCAGCUCUCAUAGCCAACCCUGCCCAAGCAUGCUUGUGCAGGAAGAAUUAAGUAUGUGUGAGAUCAAUGGUGACCUCCUUUGGCUCUAGCUGCUAUAGCAGCAGCUGCACCAGUUGACCAAGCUCCCCUUUCACUGCCUUUUGCUGGUCCUCAGGCCCCCCAGCCACUUACAGCCCUGCAUGGAAAAAGAGCUGGGCACCUCAUGCCUGAGGACUCAGAAGAUCCUGUAUCUGAAAACUCAGAUUCCACCUGCAGGAGCCCAGAGACCCUGAGGAAUUUGUGUUGUUGCACAGCUCAUGGUUCGGUUGGGGUAAGGUCAGUUUUCAUAUCCAGUGAGCUCUGUCACUUUUGGGAGUGAGCCACUGAUAACCACUUUGGCAUCGGUUUUCCCAUCCAGCGAGCCAUGCUGGCCCUCUGGUUGUUGCUCCCGCACCACAUGCAUUCAUUCAACAUAAAUAUUUUCUUUGCCUUGAUCAUCAGUCCUUACACUAAUAUCUGGAAGAUAAUGGCAAGACCCAGAGUUCCUGUCCUCCAUCAGGAGAGAAAGCUGAGACCUGAAAGAUGAAGACAGAGACAGCCACAAAAAGAGGUGAGGGGGAAUGUAUUUUUUUCUUCCUUCAAACAAAUAUUUUUAAUUUUUUAAAGUAAACUCUACCCCCAUCUCGGGGCUCAAACUCACGACCCCAACAUCAAGAGAUGUGUCCUCUACCAACUGAGCCAACCAGGCACCCUGGAGGAAGGUAUUUCAUGCAGAGAAAAAAAAAAAAAGCGCAAAGACUCAGGAAUAGGAAUGGGUUUUGGGUGUACAAGGAGCACCAAGGAGGCUAUUGUGACAGAGGCAUAUUGAGUAAGGGAGAAAAUGGUAGACUUGAGGUCACAGUGGAAGGAAGGGAGGGAGUUGGCUGUGGUAAAGACUAUGGAUUUUAUUCUAAGAGGAAUUGCCUAGAAAGGCACGGAGGGUUUUCCCAUGGAGGGAAAAGCAACCUGUGUUUAUAUGUUUGAAAAGAUCCCAUCUGCUGCUGUUUGGAGAAAGGACUGGAUUGUAGGGGGACAGAGUGGAAGCCCAGAAUCCAGUGUCAUUAGGAGACUACUACUGAGAUCCAGGGAGAGACGAUAGGCUGCUAGCUCUAGGGUGUGGGGUGGAGACGGAGAGAAUAGAUCCAAAUUACGUUUUGUAGGCAGACAGAACAGGUUUUGAUGGUGGGUUAGAUGUGGUAAGUAAAGAAGGAAUCAAGGGUAUGGUGGUGCAUUUACUGAAAUGAAGACAGGAGAAAAACAGGUGUAUAUGGUGUUGGCGGAGAUUAAAAGCUCUGUUUUGGAGAAAGUAAGUUUGACAUGCCUGCUAGGCAUCUGUGUGGUGAUAUCAGAAGAACAAAUGGAGACAGCCUGGAGUUCAGGGGAGAAAGGCAGGCUAGAGAUACAAUGUUGGGAAUCAGCAUAUAGCUGAUAAUCAAGCCAUGGGAUUAGAAAAGAUGGAAAAGAAAAAAAAAGAUAAAGUCCUCCCCACUUUGAGAGGUGUGGUUGAGGAAAAGGGAGUUAGCAAAGGAGGAGCCGAUAAGUAUGAAGUAACGAGUAUGAAGUAGAAGUAUGAAGAAACGAGGGGAGUGUGUUGUGGAAAAAGAGGAUUUCAAGGAAGGAGGGUUACCUGUAUCAGAGGCUCAAUAAAUGAGUGUCAGCUGCCCCGUGAUGAAGCAAUGCCAAGUGAAAUAGUGCUCUGGAAGCUGGAAGACCAUUUCAGCAUCUCUACAAAUUGUCCCUGUAAGCUUAGAGUUGUUAAGGAGAAAGAGAGAAAGGACCAUAAAGCUUCUUUUAAGUAUCAAAUGAGAUUAUGGCCGAAAACGCAUUCUGUAAGCCGCCCAGUCCUGUGAUAACGUCACUGUUGGGUUUUUAUUAAUGAGCUGGCGAUUAGAAUUAAGACCACCGGUGAGGGAGAGCGCAUAAGACGUACAGAAAGAGUUGUCAAGAAGUAAAUUUCAUAAUGAAGAAAACUCCUGAGAGCUUGCGUCAAAACCAGGCUUGGGGUUAGGGGAGAGAUACGGGAGCAAUGCUGCGCUUCAUUUAGAAUUUAACCCUGCGGCGAUAGCAGUAAGAAAAACAGGGCGGAUAGAAAACUCGAAGCUGAGAAGGAGGAAGUCCGGCCCCAAACGUGAGAUAUCUCUGGCUCCGCCUCCCUCCUCCACGGGCCAAUCAGGAUCCAACUGACAGGGCGGAG